UCAGAAGCAGGGAAACCGGGAAUCAGGGCAAGAUGGUUUACAUCUCGAAUGGACAAGUAUUGGACAGCCGGAGUCAGUCUCCAUGGAGAUUAUCUUUGAUAACAGAUUUCUUCUGGGGAAUAGCUGAGUUUGUGGUUUUGUUUUUCAAAACUCUGCUUCAGCAAGAUGUGAAGAAAAGAAGAGGCUAUGGAAACUCAUCUGAUUCCAGAUAUGAUGAUGGAAGAGGGCCACCAGGAAAUCCUCCCCGAAGAAUGGGUCGAAUCAAUCAUCUGCAAGGCCCAAGUCCUCCUCCUAUGGCUGGUGGAUGAGGAAGGUAAAUGUCUGCUCUAAGAAGCAGACAAAUGGACAAGCACAUUCAUAGCAGAAGGAAACCAUCAAGAAAUGAAGGGCUGACCACAGUGGACAAAUAGAUGAAUGUGUGCGUCUAAACAAGGAUUGCUCUGUGUCUUCACAGAUGAAUGAGGUCAGGCUGGGAAUUCUCUCUGCAGGGAACUGGCCUGAUUGACAUGCAGUUCUAUAAAUGCACCUUUUGUCUCAUCUUUUUUGUAUAGUUUACUAAAAUCUUAAUAGUUUUAAUAAGUAAAUAUUUUUAGGUUGCAAAAGUGAUUCUUCAUCUUUAUAUAUUUGAAUCACAAACUCUGAAUCUGAAGAAAUAAAAAGGUGUGCAUUCAAUACUGUAGUGUCAAUUUUUCAAUUUCUGAAAUACUGUUCAUUGUC